rnacentral:rRNA from 1 species
UACGUAGGGUGCAAGCGUUAAUCGGAAUUACUGGGCGUAAAGCGUGCGCAGGCGGCUAUGCAAGACAGAUGUGAAGUCCCCGGGCUCAACCUGGGAACUGCAUUUGUGACUGCAUGGCUAGAGUACGGUAGAGGGGGAUGGAAUUCCGCGUGUAGCAGUGAAAUGCGUAGAUAUGCGGAGGAACACCGAUGGCGAAGGCAAUCCCCUGGACCUGUACUGACGCUCAUGCACGAAAGCGUGGGGAGCAAACAGG